UACGUAGGGUGCGAGCGUUGUCCGGAUUUAUUGGGCGUAAAGAGCUCGUAGGCGGUUUGUCGCGUCGGCCGUGAAAUCUCCACGCUUAACGUGGAGCGUGCGGUCGAUACGGGCAGACUAGAGUGCGGUAGGGGAGACUGGAAUUCCUGGUGUAGCGGUGAAAUGCGCAGAGUAUCAGGAGGAACACCGGUGGGCGAAGGCGGGUCUCUGGGCCGUAACUGA
rnacentral:rRNA from 1 species